AUGAACGCUGGCGGCGUGCCUAAUACAUGCAAGUCGAGCGAACGGAUGAGAAGCUUGCUUCUCUGAUGUUAGCGGCGGACGGGUGAGUAACACGUGGAUAACCUACCUAUAAGACUGGGAUAACUUCGGGAAACCGGAGCUAAUACCGGAUAAUAUUUUGAACCGCAUGGUUCAAAAGUGAAAGACGGUCUUGCUGUCACUUAUAGAUGGAUCCGCGCUGCAUUAGCUAGUUGGUAAGGUAACGGCUUACCAAGGCAACGAUGCAUAGCCGACCUGAGAGGGUGAUCGGCCACACUGGAACUGAGACACGGUCCAGACUCCUACGGGAGGCAGCAGUAGGGAAUCUUCUGCAAUGGGCGAAAGCCUGACGGAGCAACGCCGCGUGAGUGAUGAAGGUCUUCGGAUCGUAAAACUCUGUUAUUAGGGAAGAACAUAUGUGUAAGUAACUGUGCACAUCUUGACGGUACCUAAUCAGAAAGCCACGGCUAACUACGUG
rnacentral:rRNA from 1 species